rnacentral:lncRNA from 1 species
AUUUCCAUCUUUUUUUUCUUUUUAGGAAUUUCUUUUUCGACGACAUCUAACAAUAUUAAAAGGGGAAUAUGAAGCUCUCUUAACAUAUCCAUAUCAGAUGGAAAAAUUAACCACUAAUAUUGCAGCAAUCAUCCAUGUCAUCUUUGAUUAAUCUUGAUUUCGGCUUCGUAUUUUGUUUUGGGUUUCUUCUUUUACCUUUCCUUAGUUUGUUUUAGGCUUCUUCUCUUAGCUUUGUCAACUCAUUCUCUCUUCUCUCUUUGAUGAUUCCGCCGUUCUUCUCUUACCUUUCGACUUCCACAUCUUCCAUUACUCUUCUCUCCAA